AAAGUGCGAUAACUAGUGUGAAUUGCAUAUUCAGUGAAUCAUCGAGUCUUUGAACGCAGCUUGCACUCUAUGGUUUUUCUAUAGAGUACGCCUGCUUCAGUAUCAUCACAAACCCACACAUAACAUUUGUUUAUGUGGUGAUGGGUCGCAUCGCUGUUUUAUUACAGUGAGCACCUAAAAUGUGUGUGAUUUUCUGUCUGGCUUGCUAGGCAGGAAUAUUACGCUGGUCUCAGGAUCUUUUUUUUGGUUCGCCCAGGAAGUAAAGUACAAGAGUAUAAUCCAGUAACUUUCAAACUAUGAUCUGAAGUCAGGUGGGAUUACCCGCUGAACUUAA
rnacentral:misc_RNA from 1 species